rnacentral:rRNA from 1 species
GACGAACGCUGGCGGCACGCUUAACACAUGCAAGUCGAACGAGAGAAGAGGAGCUUGCUUUUCUGAUCUAGUGGCGGACGGGUGAGUAACACGUGAGCAAUCUGCCUUUCAGAGGGGAAUACCGAUUGGAAACGAUCGUUAAUACCGCAUAACAUAAUUGAACCGCAUGAUUUGAUUAUCAAAGAUUUAUCGCUGAAAGAUGAGCUCGCGUCUGAUUAGCUAGUUGGUAAGGUAACGGCUUACCAAGGCGACGAUCAGUAGCCGGACUGAGAGGUUGAUCGGCCACAUUGGGACUGAGACACGGCCCAGACUCCUACGGGAGGCAGCAGUGGGGAAUAUUGCACAAUGGAGGAAACUCUGAUGCAGCGAUGCCGCGUGAGGGAAGAAGGUUUUAGGAUUGUAAACCUCUGUCUUCAGGGACGAAAAAAGACGGUACCUGAGGAGGAAGCUCCGGCUAACUACGUGCCAGCAGCCGCCGUAA